UUUAAAUAGCUGCAGUAUUUUAACUGUACAAAGGUAGCAUAGUAAUUAGUCUUUUAAUUGAGGUCUUGAAUGAAUGGUUUGACAAGAAAUUAACUUUAUUAUUUUAAUUAUAUGAAUUUAAUUUUUUAGUUAAAAAGCUAAAAUUUUUAAAUGGGACGAUAAGACCCUGUAGAUCUUUAAAUUUUUAUUAAUUAGAUUUUUUUAGUAGAAACAAAUUAUUAUUAGUGUAAAUUUUUUGUUGGGGUGAUAUUUAAAUUUUUAAAACUUUAAAAUUAAUUAACAUUUUAUAGAUGAGUCAUUGAACCUUUACUUUGGUUUAUUAAAAUAAGAUACCUUAGGGAUAACAGCGUAAUAAGUUUGUAUAGUUCUUAUAGAUAAACUUGUUUACGACCUCGAUGUUGAAUUAACUGAAAGUUUUGGGGUAGAAAAUAAAAUUUUAGGUCUGUUCGACCUUUAAAAAGUUACA
rnacentral:rRNA from 1 species